UCUUCAGAUUUACUUUAUACCGUAUAUAUCGGUCAAUAUGUCCAGUCGAACCUGAGAAAUAAUGGGUACCGUUUUGAAAAAGACAGUUUCGAGAAAAACGGGUUUAAAGUUUUAGUUCCGGCCUGUUUCUAAGUAUCUCCAAAAAUAAUUUGAAUUUUGAAAAAUCUUAUUGAAGACAUGAGACAUCUAGACUAGAAGGCUAUAGGUGUUCUAUUAUCUUUAAUAUGGUUAAAGGAAAUUGUAAAUUGUUGAAGAGAAAGCAAUAAUCGAAGCUUAUGAAGAGUUACAGCUUUCAGUAUUUAAAAUAUCAAAAAAGGGGGCAGAAGUCGAAAAGUCAAUUUCUUGCGUAAUAAAUCGGGUUACUGUCGAACUAAAAAAAGCGGUCACAAUAAAGAACAAUUUUCAACUCUCAUGCAUCGACCUCCAAGAUCCGGGCAUAUACUGGUGUUAAAGCGAGCUUAUCUACUGUUUAAAGGGUGUUAAGAAAUGCUCCAUAUUUGGAUAUUAUUAUCUUGGAUAUUAUUAUAUGGCUAUUUUGUCUUUCCAGACGAAAACAAAUUAAUUUAGAAAGGCCGAUGGAUACAAGUAUUCUUUCCAAGAUCUUCGGAAGAAGGAACAUCAGUUGGAACAACUGUGGGGAUGGUUGUCUCGCAAAGUUUUCAAGACUGGCCGAUAGUAUUCCACUAAAGAGGAAUUAGUUGAAUGUAUUAAAAAUGUUUGGUCAUCAUUUGUUUAAAUAACAUUGGAAAAUUAUACCAUUCACCACUCAAUCAGAUCUUAAAGAUCAUUUUCAACAAGGCGGGAUCGACUCAUUAAUAAAAUGAUAUACAAACGUUUAAAUUAGUUAAUACAAAAGUUUAAUAAUAUGCUCUUGGCUAAAAAUGUUAAAGAAUACUAAAGUAUGAUGACCUUAUUCAAAUUGUAAAUUUUUUUGUUGAUUUCGAAAUAAAAUCAUUAAAAAAUAUGGAAAAAAGGUGUAUUAUUACUAUCAAUUUUAGAAUUUUAUUGGAAAGUGGAAAUCAACUUCACUUAUUUUGAAAACGAAAAUUUCGAGCGUUUUUCUUAUAAAUAUUCAAGCUGCCUAAAAGUUGACUAUACAAAAUGAACAGAAAUAUUUCACUCAACUCAGCAACAAACACAUGCGAAUAUUUAAAGUCUUUGAUUCACAACCACAUCUAAGCUCAGACGUUUUAACGGUUUUUAAUGUGAAGAGCAAGCAAGUAUGUACGAAAACAGAUAGUAACGGUUACUAGUGAUAUCUACGUCAAUAUAAAUAACAAGUAAUAGCAUAAACACAAUACGGGCGACGGCGAAUAUUCGUCGUACUCGGCGAUGCCGUGGGUGAUUCGAACACACGAGUGUAUAUGAAGAUUAACACAAUACGCGACGGCGGCGAAUUUCGCCCACCAUGACGAUUUUUGAAAUAGAGCUAUUUCUAAUUUUAUCGCCGACCGCGGCAAAACCGACAUUGCCAUAUCAAAGAAAGAUUAUUUUAAGUAAAAUCUUAAGAAUUAAAAAAAAAAUUCAAGAAAUUGUCUGCGUUGGCAAUAUUAAGAUCGUUUCUGUUUGGUUUCGUCAUUUUAAUUUCAAAAUCAAAACAUUGUGAUACUUUUAACUGCGAAGUACGCACUAGGUGGCUAUAAGCAAAUAAAAUGGAUUUAAACGAAAAAUUAAUAGAGGAACUACGUAAAUAUAAGUGCAUUAACAAUUUAUCGUCACCGAAUUACAAAAAUGUGUUUAAAAAAAUCCAAAUUUGGGAAGAAGUAGCUAAAAUAAUAAAUGUGCCGGAGGAGUCAAAGAAAAGCCUGUUUUAUUAUAAACUUUAUUCUAAAGUAUUGUAUUAUAAAUAUUUUCAGAAGACAGCUGUAGGAAACGCUGGAAAGGGCUGGAAAGGACAGCGACUGGCUUCCGGCAGUGGUGUUCCGAUUCCACGCAAAAUAUGGAAAUAUAUGAACACGUUAAGUGUUUUGCGCGGCUACAGUGAUUCUCGAGAAAUGGAAGAAAUAGAGUGCUCUUCUUUAACAAGUACAAGUACUCCUCCAGAAGGUUAUUACACUCCUCUAAAUGCGG